AUAUCAGGGACAUUGAUCAAACGACCCAGGUUCAUCCGUGCACUUUUUACUAACCAAACACCCCCAAACCCUCAUUCAUUAUCAGCCCUACAUGACCACCUCUCUUUCCCAAAUCUCUCUACUUUCUCUCAUCCCAUCCGACCCUGUUAGUCACAAAUGCUUAUACAAAAUUAUGCAAGGUCACAAAUUCAAAUCCCAAAUCACUCAAUAUGUCCCCUACAUUCGCGAAUCAUGCCUAUACUUCCGUUUUCAUCACCAAAAUACAAAACCCUAAUUGAACCCUAGACCUAAAUCAUGCCAUUGAGAAUAUUUUGUUCUCCCAUCGUUCUUUCAAAUCUAUGGCAUGCAUGACCUUAUUUUCGUUUUCAUUAUCAUUAUUCUUUGUCCAGUGGUCAAAUGAAGUGACCUCUGGAGAUUAGGGCUUUGUUCGAUGGGUCUUCGCCUUCAACGACCAUCUUCUCGUGCCAAGAUAAAUCCGUAUUACUUUUUCCCUCUGUUCUUCACCAAUUUCACCUCUAUUGCUGUCAUCAUCCAACUAUCGUCACCUUCCACUAUUGAUUUAAAAUAUGACCGGAACCUUAAGGCUUGAAUGCCGCAAUAAAAGGGGCAUUCAAUGUCCUCACCUAACACACAUCUAAUACUAUCAAAGACACAAAACGCCUAUUGAGUUUGGAUCCUCAAACGGCUAUUGAGUUUCCUCUACUUGGUUUGCUGCUAUAUAGAAAGUCAGUAUGUACUGACCCCUUUUACUUUGAAUUAAUCAUUUAGUUCUGCAAUUUUCUAGUUGAUUCUCUAAUUGUUCGUGCUAGAUAUUAAACUGUGUUUAUCAUGACUUGCCUUAUAUAUACUGUUUUCACUUUUCAGUUAGGAUUUCUUGAUCAAGUUCUGCUAUAUUGUUAUCAAACCUAUGCUAUCGAAUUCUAUUCUUAUUAUUUGAUUAAUAAAAAAUGCCUCUAUGCUAAAUGAUAUUCUCGUGGCCAAGCCCUAUGACUAUUUAAAGUAAUCUCCAUGUUGAUUUUGUGUAUAGCUGGUCUCUGUUAGUAAAGUAACACUCGUAUAAGCUUUAUCAUGUUAGCUAAGCUAGUUGAAUUAUGUUCCUAAGCUUUCCUUUGUGUUUCUGUACCUACAGAUCAACUUGAUCCUCCUACUUGUGAUAUUAUACUGUUCCUAUAAAUGUUUUCCCUAAAGCGUGCAUUUUUGACCUGAUAACUAGCUGAUAAGUUUGUAGUUGAUAACUUGCCUAUUCUGCAUAUUCAGUGAUCCAUAUAUGGCUAUUAUUACUAGACCUUAUUAAAGCUUCAUUGAUCUAGAUCUUAUGUUGAUGAUGUUAUAUAUAUAUAUUCUUUUCUGCUAACCAAGUUGUUGAGAUAAAAUUACGCUGCUAAAACCUUUCUUGAGAACACUGUUAAUACUUGCCAACACUAAGCCAUUUGAUACUUGUAAUGUUCUGCUGUUCUGAUUCAGUUCUUACCUUUCAUGUUAACUUCUUAGACUUUAAAUAGCAGUCUGCUCAUGUCAUUGUAAUAGAAUGAUCUCUAUGUGCCCUCUGUGAUGACUUAAAACCAUGCAAUAAACCUUGUUAAUGUAUUAGGGAACUUGCAUUCAUGACUAAACAUAACUUGAUUAGGAUAAAACACUAUAGUGAGUACAAACACUUGUCAUACGGCGAUGGUUUGAGUUCUGUGAGACUUAUGUUGUUAUGUUAUAAACCUAUUUCACCUGAGUCCACACCUGCCAUUGUUAAUUUGGUUAAGUUCACAUACUAUCACCUGAAUUUAAUUUGAAGGAUUGUAUGUUUUCACCUAUGUGUCAUAAUUCUGAUCUUACUGUGGUAAUACGCUGGUCUGAGUUUAUGAAUAUUGUUUGUCAAAAGGCCUAUCUCUGAUUCUUAGGAUGAUCUAUUCCCAUGACUCCAAUUGUUAGGCUUAGCUAUGAUUUCACACUAUCCUGAUCCCUAAACGUUUUUCAUGUUAACUUAUAUCCAACCAUGUGUUGAGAUUUAUUGAUAUACUAUGCUAGUGAACCUGUUUACAUGCCCAACUGUUAGCUCAGUAUGACCUGUAUGAGCUGAUAAGUUAAAGGGAAAGUCACUCACUAGCUAAGCUUGCUCUUAACUAUACUGAAGCUUUUCUUUUAAUCGCCUGUGCACUGUUCUUAUAGUAUGAACCUACAUAAAAGAACUCUGAGCAUCAAACCUAUAGUGAAGACAAUAGAAUAUGUACUUGAACUCAUCCCUGCAUAGUGCUGGCCUAUUGAUAUUUCUGAGCCCGAAGACAUGAGUAAUGAAGCAUGCCUACUGCUUGCAUUUUUGUGAUCUUGUGUGAUUAUGCCCCAAUAUUGACUCAUGCCUACUGUAGUGUCCUGUUUUUAUACUCUAUGCGUGAUAGUGAAUUACAACAUUCCAUUGGUUCACAACUGUUGAAUCUUUGUGUGUUUGAACCUUUAAAUGAUUUACCAUGACUUCUACAUCUAUUGUUUGUGUCUUGGCAGUAUGAAAUUGCUCUGCUGAUUCUUUAUUUGUGUUUAAGCCAUUAAGCAAGAUUAGAAGUAGGUGGUUAAUGGUAUUUGGGUGUGAAACCUGGUUGUGGAUAAGGCACCCUUCCCUAACACAAGCACUUCUCGGAGUGCGUGAGACCCUCGUGAACUCUGAUGUGUCAGGGGUUCACAAGGGUAUUUUAUCCAUAAUCAAGAAUUUACCAUAAGCCUUUAAUCACUAACUCAUAUUAAUCCUCAUACGAUUAACAUAAAUAAAAUCCGCCUCAUCGCAUUCUUUAAUUCUUUUGUUUUGUCUUAAUCUCGAUCUUAUUUUAUUUUUAUAUUUGAUAUAUACUAAUUAUCUCUUAUUUCUUUGUGUGCAUGCCUCGAAUUUGGCUCACUAAGUUCCAUUGGGAAAUCAGGCCCAAUUGCAAAUCCAACCUGCUCCUGCUCCAUGCGUUGGGGAUCUGCUACCUUAAGUCAAAUCCUGUUGGGCCUAGCUAGCUUAUCAACCCAACAGUCAAAGAAUCCACCUUCUUCCUUCCUUUACCUUGAACGAUAUUCAUUGUUGUUUGCUACCUUAC
rnacentral:lncRNA from 1 species